CCUACGGGUGGCUGCAGUGGGGAAUUUUGGACACUGGGCGCAAGCCUGAUCCAGCCAUUCCGCGUGAGUGAAGAAGGCCUUCGGGUUGUAAAGCUCUUUCGCAAGGGAAGAAAACUUAUCCUCUAACAUAGGAUGAGGUUGACGGUACCUUGAUAAGAAGCACCGGCUACCUACGUGCCAGCAGCCGCGGUAAUACGUAGGGUGCGAGCGUGACUCAGGCUUGCGCAGCGUAAUGCGUGCGCAGGCUGUGAAAUCCCCGAGCUCAACUUGGGAACGGCGUUUGAAACUACAAGACUAGAAUAGGUCAGAGGGGGGUAGAAUUCCACGUGUAGCAGUGAAAUGCGUAGAGAUGUGGAGGAAUAUCAAUGGCGAAGGCAGCCCCCUGGGAUCAUAUUGACGCUCAUGCACGAAAGCGUGGGGAGCAAACAGGAUUAGAUACCCCAGUAGUC
rnacentral:rRNA from 1 species